CGAAACGAAAAAGGGCACCCUCUCCGACGGAGCGCGAGCGAGAAAAAGCUCCAGUGCUUCCACAGCCGAGUUCAGGUACGCCGUUUUUAGUGCGUCUCACCCAUCCCGAAUUCCAACGUAAUCUCCCGAGAUCUGAUUUUCAAUUCGCAGGAUCUAGUUGAAAAGAAGUUGGAGCUUCUCAUUUGUGAUCAUCGAAGUGGAGACAAAAUGCUUGGUAUGCCGAGAGAGGGUGAAAAUGCUUUGAUUAUGGGAGGUCCAAGACCUAUGGAAUGGUCUACGGUUCCAUAUGGUGCUUUUCAAGCACCAGGACAAAAUGGAAAACAACGGACGUCUAGCUUGGAGUCACCAAUCAUGUUGCUAACCGGCCACCAAAGUGCUAUAUAUACCAUGAAAUUCAAUCCAGCAGGAACAGUGAUUGCAUCUGGAUCUCAUGACAAAGAGAUUUUCCUGUGGUACGUUCAUGGGGAGUGCAAAAAUUUCAUGGUCUUGAAAGGGCAUAAGAAUGCAGUAUUGGAUCUUCACUGGACCACUGAUGGUAGCCAGAUCAUAUCUGCUAGUCCCGAUAAGACUCUGAGAGCAUGGGAUGUUGAAACAGGGAAGCAAGUAAAGAAAAUGGCAGAGCACUCAUCGUUUGUGAAUUCAUGCUGCCCUUCGCGAAGGGGUCCACCACUUGUUGUCAGUGGAUCUGAUGAUGGAACUGCAAAACUCUGGGACCUGCGACAAAGGGGUGCCAUUCAGACAUUUCCAGACAAAUACCAAAUCACUGCCGUUGGCUUCGCUGAUGCAUCAGACAAGAUAUUCACUGGUGGAAUCGACAAUGAUGUGAAGAUAUGGGAUCUGCGAAGAAAUGAGGUUACUAUGACUCUUCAGGGCCAUGCGGACAUGAUAACAGGUAUGCAAUUGAGCCCUGAUGGCUCCUAUCUCCUAACCAACUCCAUGGAUUGCUCUCUUCGCAUUUGGGACAUGCGCCCAUAUGCCCCACAGAAUCGUUGUGUGAAGAUACUAGCAGGGCAUCAACAUAACUUUGAGAAGAACUUGCUGAAAUGUAGCUGGUCACCUGAUGGAAGCAAGGUCACAGCUGGUAGUGCAGACAGAAUGGUGUAUAUCUGGGAUACAACUUCACGACGCAUUUUGUAUAAGCUUCCUGGACACACUGGUUCUGUGAAUGAGUGUGUCUUCCAUCCUAGCGAGCCUAUUAUUGGAUCUUGCAGCAGUGACAAGCAGAUCUAUCUGGGGGAGAUUGAAGCUACUUCAGGAUAUCAACAACCCCCAAAAUGAACGUUUAAGUAGUUUGACCUACCAAAAAAGUGUGGGGUCCCUUAGCGAUGAUGGACAGAGUUAAAAAGGCUCACAUUGGCACCACUCACAUACCAACACGGCUCCAACUUAGCAUUGACCCCUGCCCAACUCUUGCAUGCACGUGAUCCAACAAAGUAGGAUCAUGGAGGGGUAAUUGCCUGGAAAACUACCAAGCGCAAAGCACCCAUGCAUAGGGAAGGUCAUGCCUGAGUAGCUGGCUGCACAAAAUAGCAGGGAAUGCUGCCAAGCAUGAUUAUCGAAGCGGCUCACAUGCCAACACAAUUGAAGCUUCAUAACUGCACCUUAGCAUGGCUGUUGCAUGUACCUUCAAGGGUGAAAUUGCUAAUUGAUGUCUAGAGCAUGCAGUGCCAUACGAGCUUGCUUAGUUCAUAGUUGCACAUGCAUGGCUCAGUCUUUAAGACAAGCAUACGAGUACUGGUAGGAUCAUCAUUCCUUCACAGCACUGUCGCCAUCACUGCCCCAACAAGGGGGAAGCAAUAGAGCAGGUCAUCUUUUGCUACAAGUAAAGAAAGAAGGGACCAAGGCUAGAGCCAGAUUGAUAGCAUCCUCCAUAUCUGAAAGCACACAUAGGUCCUAUGCAUGAGCCACAAUAAUAGUCAACCGAUGAACUAAUAGAUGCACAACUGCUACUUCAAGGGCCACCUCAUGUCAGCCACAAUCAGGGGAGCAAGAGGCAAAAGAAGCAUUUGCAGAUGAGUUCCCUCAUAAGAGGCAAUAAACAUAGGCAGUCAAGUUGGCACUGAAGCACACAAAUUGUCAUUGGACUGGUGAGUGUAAAGGACAUGCUCAGAUAGUUGGCCAUGCGGGGAAUGGUAGGGGUCCAAACACAUGGCAUCACAAUCAUGCCCAACUUGGGCAUAACUAAUUGUGCAUUAUUUCUCCCAAAAAAGUUUGGAUCAUUGGAUGGGACCCCACCUGUACAAAUUGCAAACCUGAUCAAACUGUAUAAAUUCUUUGGGCAGAGUAUUGUAUAAUGCCUCAUUCUGGCAUGGGAGAUCAAUCUCCUUGGUUAUUAGUGAUGUCCUAAUAUUUUACACCAUCUGGUUGUUUGACUGAAAAACUUUUCAGCUUGAUAACAUGGCAUUAGACCCCCACGUACCCCAUCCGUUACCAUUAUUAAUUUCACCUGUUACUUUUUUUUAGGCUGCA